rnacentral:lncRNA from 1 species
AUCCUCUCCAUUUCUCCAUCAUCCCCACCUCAUCUUGGUCGCCGCACUGAAGGUCACCAGAGCUGUUUCCCUGAAUGUCCUCACACCUCUCUUUCCCUCCUAGAAGGCCAGACCCUAAGUGGGCUGCAGUGUGAAUUGGUUAGUCCUUGGACUCUGGAAUCGGGCCCCAGGUGAGAACCUCCUGGGAAGCGGGGAGAGAUGUGGAUGCAUUGCAGAAUUCCUCAAUAGAUCAGGAAGUCCAGGAUGUUAGAAAGUUGUCGAACUACCAGGCCCACAGAGCAAAGAAAGAAGAUUCAGAGAGAUGCAC